AAUAUAAUUUGUGAUCGUUCUAGCUCUUUUUACCACAGUAGCAACAUUCUCUCUCUUCCCCAUUACCUCAAACAUGAGAUCAAUACAAUGUGCUACACAUGAUGUCCAAAACACAUUAUGAUGCUUCAUUAACUUUUUUCCAGCUUUGACAAAUGCAGAAUCGUUGUCGGUCACGACUUGGACAACAUUAUGCUCUCCCACCUCCAUGAUUACAUCCCUCAAUAAUUUGUAAAUAUACUUGUAGUUCUUUAUAUGGUCUA
rnacentral:lncRNA from 1 species